GAGUUUGAUCCUGGCUCAGAGCGAACGCUGGCGGCGUGCCUAACACAUGCAAGUCGAACGUGAUCCAGAGCUUGCUCUGGUGAAAGUGGCGCACGGGUGAGUAACGCGUGGAUAACCUACCCUGGUAUCCGGGAUAACAUUCCGUAAGGGGUGCUAAUACCGGAUAAGCCCACGGGCUCUUUGGAGCUUGCGGGAAAAGGUGGCCUCUAUUUAUAAGCUACUGUAUCAGGAUGGGUCCGCGUACCAUUAGCUAGUUGGCGGUGUAACGGACCACCAAGGCGACGAUGGUUAGCUGGUCUGAGAGGAUGAUCAGCCACACUGGAACUGAGACACGGUCCAGACUCCUACGGGAGGCAGCAGUGGGGAAUUUUGCGCAAUGGGGGAAACCCUGACGCAGCAACGCCGCGUGAGUGAUGAAGGCCUUUGGGUCGUAAAGCUCUGUCAGAGGGGAAGAAAUGAUAUAGUGCUAAUACCACUUUAUCUUGACGGUACCCUCAAAGGAAGCACCGGCUAACUCCGUGCCAGCAGCCGCGGUAAUAC
rnacentral:rRNA from 1 species